CAGUAGCCGCGGGAAUACGGAGGGUGCAAGCGUUAUCCGGAAUUAUUGGGCGUAAAGAGCUCGUAGGCGGUUUGUCGCGUCUGCCGUGAAAGUCCGGGGCUCAACCCCGGAUCUGCGGUGGGUACGGGCAGACUAGAGUGAUGUAGGGGAGACUGGAAUUCCUGGUGUAGCGGUGAAAUGCGCAGAUAUCAGGAGGAACACCGAUGGCGAAGGCAGGUCUCUGGGCAUUAACUGACGCUGAGGAGCGAAAGCAUGGGGAGCGAACAGGAUUAGAUACCCCCGUAGUCCCUGUCUCUUAUAC
rnacentral:rRNA from 1 species